CUUCCCUUUUCAGAAGAGAUACCUCUUCGCCAUUCUCCCUCUCUUCGCAAUCCUCCCCUACUACGUCAUCUUUGUUUCCCACUCGCUCUUCUCCCUCUCCUUCGUCAACCUCAAUCUCCGCCACCAUCAACCCGAGGAAUCUUAAUUGCACGCCCUUUACUAUUAGAAAAUAGGGCAGAAGCGUAAAAUCACUCACAAAAUAUAUAUGUUGAUGUUUUAAUAUUGUUGUGACACGUGACUUGGUGAGAGAAAGGUAAAAGUACAAGUUCUGGAGAGAAGAUAGAGCUUCGAUGCUCUGCUAGGGUUUCAGCCUCAUCGCUUCCACCGCACACCGCCAAACGCAUACACUAGAAACAAUGGAGAUAAGGAUCAGAGAAGACACACAAGGUAAAAGUACAAGUUCUGCAGAGAGGACAGAGCUUUGAUGCUCUGCUAGGGUUUCAGCCUCACCGCUUCCACCGCACACCACCAAACGCAUACACCAGAAACAAUGGAGAUAAGGAUCAGAGAAGACACACAAGAUUACCGAAUCUAUACCAACUUUGGCAUUAGAGUACCUUUCACACGUAACCUCCAAGUUUGACCGAAUGGUGACAAGAGCGAAAUGAAGGACGAGCGGUGACUAGUGCUACAAGUUGAACAAACGAAGUUAGAAGAAUUGUUAACCUCAACCCCACAAAUCGAAACAAGUUAUUUUUUCUCCAUUUAUUUAAUAUUUUGUUUAUCCUUUUGCUUGGCAUUAUAUUAAGUCCCUUUGUUACAAAGUUCUUGAGCUUAGGUUCACACUAAAUACUAUAAAUGACCACUGAUUUUACAGUCACAUUUUUUUUUGGCUUGCUCCAAGCUUUGUUUGCUAGGAAUCCAUCAAUUACCCAAGCUUGGUACUUUUUCUCUAUUGUUAUUAUUUCCCUUUCUAGUUCUUUAUAUGAUUUAUUGGUCUCAUAUUUUUGUACCUUAUUGAUAACUUGUUUACUUUCAUGCUUCAUGACAUGUAUUUGGAGUUGCUAUCUAGUA